rnacentral:rRNA from 1 species
CGGUGACUAUGGCUGAGAGGAUACACCUGUUCCCAUCUCGAACACAGAAGUUAAGCUCUCAUGCGCCGAUAAUACUUGGUGGGAAGCUGCCUGGGAAUGUAGGUCGUUGCCGGUUU